ensembl:misc_RNA Metazoa_SRP Metazoan signal recognition particle RNA
GCCAGGGUGGUAGUGCAUGCCUUUAAGCCCUGCUCCCAGGGAGGUAGAGGCUGGUGGAUUUCUUGAGCUCAGGAAUUCUGAGCUGCAAUAGGUUAUGUCAGUUUGGUCUCUCAACUAAGUUCAGCACCAGUAGAGUGAGCCCCAGGGAGCUACUAGGCUGCCUAAGGAGGGGGAAACUGUCCCAGGUUGGAAACAGAGCAGGUCAAAGCUCCCUUUCCAACGAGCAACGGGGUCUGACCAAUGAGUCCUCACUGCACUUUCAGCCUGGGCAAGAUAGAAAAACCCAGUUUAA